rnacentral:lncRNA from 1 species
AAAAAAGUUUGAAGUAUUAGAUUGGAUAAAGUAUUUUUAGUUUAAAAGUUAAUCGAAAAACUUCCAGCAAAAAAAUUUGCAAUUGCUAAAGAAAUUAUUCAGUUUUAUCUCUUUCUACGAAAAUCAAAGUGUAAAGAAAAAGUGAAGUUCUUAGUCAUAACAAAAAUUCUUUUUUUAUACCUAAUGGUCCAGUUGAUCAGUCCGACUGCUGUAUACUGUCCAAACUAAUGGUACCUUAGAUACUUGGUGGAUUUAAAGUGCUUACAAUACAAAAGAAUAAAAUUACGAAACUGUUUGAAGGAGUGGAUAAAAUUAAAAGAUCAAAGACACAUAGCAAAUCCUACUGAAAUAAAAAAAAAGGCAUUUGUUUGAAGAGAAAAUGAAUUAGGUAUUUUGGAUUGGAGAACAAAUACUAUAUUUGAAGAAAUAUUAAAAGAUAAAAUGAGAAAAGUGAAAUAAAAGAAUCCAUAAAAAAUACUUUAACAUCAUCAGCUUCACUAAUGAAUAUACACUUUAAUGGAAAAAAUGUUAAUGAAUUAACGAAAAGAAAGCAAUUUAAAAAAGAUAGAAUUGCAGUUUUUGUAAGAAUUGAUGCGCAAACAGAACUACUUGGCAUUCCUUCAAUAGAUUCUAGUUCAGGGGUUAAUCGAAAGCAAGCUACUUUAGAAUUGAUGGAAUUUUUUGGAUUAAAAGAUAAGGUUAAAUGUCUCUGUUUUGACACAACUUUGGCAAAUACAGGAAAAUCGCACGGUACUUGCAUGAGAAUAUUUCAGCAAAUUCAAUGUCCCUUGUUGUUGAUGGCAUGUAGACAUCAUGUAAUUGAGCAACACAUAGCCCAUUUCUGGAAGAUUUACUCAAGCAGCAAAACUCCUGGUCCAGAAAACAAACUAUUUAAAAUUCUAAAACAAAACUGGAAUAGUAUAGAUGCUGAAACUAAGGAGCUGAAAAGAAUAAUAAUACUACCUGGAACAUGGAUAUAUAAUGGAUAAAAAAUAGCUGCUGUUCAGUUUUGCCAUAAUGUGAUUUGUUUAAAGAUCUUCAAAAAGGACAGAAAUGUAAGAAAAGAAUACCAUAAGCUAGCUGAACUUAUUUUAAUGGUUCUAUCAUCAAAUAGGUUUAAAUUUCAAUUACCAGGACCAGUUCUCCAUUCAAGAUUUAUGGGAAAAGGUUUUAUACUACUUAAAAUUGUAUCCUUUGAUGAAUGAAAUCCAAAACCUGACUGACAAACAUAAAGAAGAAAUAACUGGUAUGGCUUUAUCCAUUUGUCUUUUCUAUACAGAGUGGUUUCUAAAAGCAGAGUUAAGUUCUUUGGCACCAACACAGGAUAUGAAAGCUUACUGGCAAAUGAAAAGGUUUGAGGAAGGGAACCUACUUGGCUUUCAAGUUGUUGCAAGCUCUAUUAUUAGACAUACUUGGUAUCUAGAUCCCACUUUAGUAGUUUUUGCCCUAGCAGAUAAAGAAUGUAGGAAAUGUGGUGAUAUGGCCAAAAAACUGCAUAGUUUACAAAGAUGUCCAAGUGAUAGUUUUCCUUUGGAGCGCCAGGUAAUGGAUCAAGCUAUACUGAAUAGCCUCAAUUUUAGUAAAGGCGAGCCUCCUAGUUUGACUACAUUAUAACAGAAAAGUCGUGGCUAGAUUUUGACAUGCUCAGGCAUGGAAAGACAGAAACUCAAUGGAUGAAGACUCUACCAGAAUUUUGGAAAUUCAACAAUUUUUAUCUAGAAUUUAGAGCAACAGAUAAGGGACUUGAUGUUGUUAAUGACUGUUACUAGAGGGCAGUUAAGUUAGUUCAAGACCUAAUAAAUAUUGCAUAUUCUGAGGGGAAAAGGCAGGAUACCUUUCUCUUUGCAAAUAGUUACAAGAAAAACAGAAACGGGAAGAAUAAAAUGGAUUACAAAAAAACCGCUAAUACAAACACAAAUAAAGUCAAGUUUCUUAUGCACAUUUUUUUGUCACUUUUUAUCAUUCUUUAAGAAAGAAUAAAAAAAAUCAUAAAUUUACUGGGGUUGCUGUAUUUUAAUUUAAAUGAAACUUUACAAUUGAGUUAAAAAAUUUUAUAAUUUAAUUAAUUUUUUUUUUUUUUUUUUUUUUUUAGUAUCUUCUUUCUCUGUCCAGGCCCUCUCUCUUAUAUAUUUCCCAGAAUAGUUCCUGAAGCUGAUUAUAAGUGAGAAAUCAAUAUUGUACUGUAUC